rnacentral:rRNA from 1 species
UCUACGGGGAGCUGCAGUGAGGAAUAUUGGUCAAUGGGCGAGAGCCUGAACCAGCCAUGCCGCGUGCAGGAAGACGGCUCUAUGAGUUGUAAACUGCUUUUGUACGAGGGUAAACGCAGAUACGCGUAUCUGUCUGAAAGUAUCGUACGAAUAAGGAUCGGCUAACUCCGUGCCAGCAGCCGCGGUAAUACGGAGGAUUCAAGCGUUAUCCGGAUUUAUUGGGUUUAAAGGGUGCGUAGGCGGUCGGAUAAGUUAGAGGUGAAAUCCCGAGGCUCAACUUCGGAAUUGCCUCUGAUACUGUUCGGCUAGAGAGUAGUUGCGGUAGGCGGAAUGUAUGGUGUAGCGGUGAAAUGCUUAGAGAUCAUACAGAACACCGAUUGCGAAGGCAGCUUACCAAGCUACUUCUGACGUUGAGGCACGAAAGCGUGGGGAGCAAACAGGAUUAGAUACCCUUGUAGUC